rnacentral:rRNA from 1 species
UACGGAGGGUGCGAGCGUUGUUCGGAAUCACUGGGCGUAAAGCGCGUGUAGGCGGCCCACUAAGUCUGAUGUGAAAGCCCGGGGCUCACCCCCGGAAGUGCAUUGGAAACUGGUGGACUCGAGUCCCGGAGAGGAGAGUGGAAUUCCUGGUGUAGCGGUGAAAUGCGUAGAGAUGUGGAGGAACACCAAUGGCGAAGGCAGCCUUCUGGGCCUUACCUGACGCUGAGACGCGAAAGCGUGGGGAGCGAACCGG